UGGCUCAGUGGUUAAGAGCACUGACCGCUCUUCCAGAGGUCCUGGGUUCAAUUCCCAG
rfam:Rattus norvegicus chromosome 3, whole genome shotgun sequence.